GAUGAAGAACGUAGCGAAAUGCGAUAAGUAGUGUGAAUUGCAGAAUUCAGUGAAUCAUCGAAUCUUUGAACGCACAUUGCGCCCCUUGGUAUUCCAUGGGGCAUGCCUGUUCGAGCGUCAUUUGUACCCUCAAGCUUUGCUGGGUGUUGGGCGUCUUGUCGUAUUACGACUCGCCUUAAAUACAUUGGCAGCCGGCACUUUGGCCUAGGAGCGCAGCACAUUUUGCGAUCGUAGCCCGUUGUACUGGCGUCCAUCAAGAACAUUUACCACGUUUGACCUCGGAUCAGGUAGGGAUACCCGCUGAACUUAAGCAUAUCAAUAAGCGGAGGA
rnacentral:misc_RNA from 1 species